rnacentral:lncRNA from 1 species
GAAAGGUCAUUAUAGAUAGUCAGUCAACUUUUUUUCUGGAUACAUCUCAUGUUAAGAAAUUCCUUUGGCCUUUUGGGCUUUUCUGACCAAUGCACCCUUUUUCUCCAAACACAGGUGGGGCAAUGAGGCAAAUUCCCCUUCUCCCACCAAACGCAGGUGGAGUAAAGAGACCAAUCCUCCAACAACAAGCGGGCCUAUCGGUCUGGGAACAGAUGGCUGUGCCAUGCUUGAGCUUUCUCAGAUGAAGGAAAACAUGAUCAAAGAUGUGACUCACACUAACCAAAUCCCACCAGAGAUGUUGGAUACAAAGGAGGAUUGAAGUAAAAUUCUUUU